GACCUUGUUGCUCAGACGGUAGAGCAUCGUUGUAGAAAUACGAAGGUCGCGGGUUCGAAUCCCAGCCGCGGUCA
rnacentral:tRNA from 1 species